GUGCGUAUGAUGGAAAAAAAACAUAGUCUGAGAUGCGUGAUGUCUUCAAAGGAACCACUGACGCAC
ensembl:snoRNA SNORD42 Small nucleolar RNA SNORD42